GAGCGGUGAUGAAGUUAGCGUGACUGUGUGGAGAGAGUUCCUCCACGUUUCUCCGAUCUUAGAGACGAAGCUUUACGCUUCUGAGCUC